CCGGGAGGAGCUGCCGCAGCCGCCGCCGGGUGCCACGUGGCGGGCGCCGGGCCGGGAGCGCCGGGGCUCUGGCGGCGGCCUCCCUGGGGGAUUUGACGCGCGGGGCGGGCGACGAGCCCUUUCCCCGCCGGUCGGCCGCCACCUCCGCUUUGCUCCCGCCUGCCUGCCGAGUCGUUCGCCCCCGCGACCCCACCCGCUUUGCCCUUCCCGCCGUCCUGGAGCUUGGCGCGCUGCUCCGGGGGCUGGGAGCAGCCCUGGAGACGGAGUCUUGUGUGAUGUCGCGCCCCCAAUUCCCCCGCCCUCCCAGCCUUCUUUAGGUUUGGAGGCUGCCGGAGGCCUGGCACACAUUUCUCAGACACUUCAUUCCUUCCUUCCUCCGAGCUCCCCACUGAGAUAAUGUUGUAAAUGGUUUCACCAGAUCUGUUCCCUGAUGAGAUUCAGAGGUUCCUGACUCUGGAUGACCUUGGGCAAGCCCCUCUCUCUUUCAUUUUGGAACACAAACUCUGUGCCAGACACCGUGUUAAACCCUGGGAUUAGAUAGAGAGAUACAGUGCAGUCUGCAAGGAGUUCACAGUCAACUCUGGAGGCAGACAGACUUGGUUUUCUGAUUUGAUGACCGGGUAUUCCUCUAUUCUUUCUUUCUCUGAGGGCUUAGAUGAUGGCUCAAGAGAUGAGGGGAACCUAAAGGAAACACUGAACCUCACCUGCAUGGCCAGCACUAUUGCUGGUCCCCCAAUACGAGGAUGAAUGAACUAAGUGCCCUCAGGAGGCCUACAGCCUAGAGGUUAUACUCAUGACUGCAGCUGGCGCAUACCUACUUCCCAGUAUAUUCUUCUGUCAUCUUUCUACCCUCCUCCCAAAGCAAAGAGAAAAUUGAACCUUGUUCAUCAGUGGAGGUCACCUCUUUGAUCCCACUGUGAGACCAGCACAACACAGGCAUCUUUCCCACUGUACCAUGCUCAGUAUCGGAAUGGUUUGUGGGUUUGGUUUAAAGCUACAGAAAGGAGAGAGAGCUAGAAGAAGAAAAAAGAUUCCCUGCAGCCUGCCAGAGACGUGGGAGCUGCCCUGCCAAGAGCUAUCCUGGGAGGGCUAUUGAAAGGGCCUUGAGGUUGCAGCAGCCAGCUCCCGGCAGUCUGAGCGCCCAGAAACAGCACAUUCCAGACCAGCUGUGCACGCGUGUUUGCCCACAUGUAGCAGGUGGGGGCACCGGGAAGGGGACGGAAGCCAGAAAUCACCUGCAUGAUGACUGCGUCCCGCCUCUGUUUCUGGCAUCGGCCUGACUGGCACCUGAGCUGUUCUGCUCCUGGUGUUUGGCGAGAGAAAAUGAUAGGCAAGAAAGCCAGAUGUUCCCCAGAGAAGAGGAUUCAGGAAUGCCUGGAGUCCGAGUCCUGGUUGGCAUGCAGAGGCAUUAGAAACAACUGCAACUCUGCAUUCCAUUUCUGAUAAAACCGGGAGACUCCGGCAGUAAUCCAGAGGGAAGAUGGAGAGCUGCCUUAAAGUGGAGCUGGUGGUCUGGAGAGAAGGGACCAUGAGACUGAGGCCUGUUGGACCUUGGAGACUGACUGGACCCUGCUGGGGAGAAGGAGUCAAAGGAUGACACUGGUUUGUUCUUGGCACAACUAAUAUUCCACAGUUCCACUUUCAAUAAUAAUUUUUAGACUGAUUGUCCCUUCCUCCUGUCCCAAAGUCUAGAGUUCAGUGAAGACAAUUAGAUUUACCUCUUACGAUCCUUUACAAAAAUGGUGUUUAUUUUGAGAUAAUUUUAGACUUAAGAAAAGUUGCAAAAAAUAGUAUAGAGAGCUCUCUUGCUCCUUUAACCGGCUUCCCCUUUGUCACCAUUUUAUAUAACUAUGGAGUGAUCACCAAAACUAAGAAAAGAACUUUGAUAAAAUCCUGUAAACUACAGACUUUAUUCACAUCUCACCAUUUCUUUACUAUUGUAUCUUCUUUCUGUUCCAGAACCCCAUCCAGGGCCCCACAGUGCAUGGAGUUGUCUUGUCUCCUUAGUCUCCUUUGCUCGGUGACAGUUGGUCUGGCUUUCAUGACACUUAUUAGAGUAUUUGCCAAUUGUUUUUUAGAAUGUCCUCCUUUGGGGUCUGAUGUUGCUUCACUGCACUGCUAUUGUUAACCAUGAUCAUGAGGUUAAGAUGGUUUCUGUCAGGAUAGUCACUGUGAAGUUAACACUCUUCCCUUAUGUAUUCCCUAAAUGUCUGAGGGGGCCAGGGUGCAACUUCAAGACUCUCCAAAUAUGUUGUUUCUGCUUAGACAUGGGCCUACUAAAUUUAGAAUUUAUCAAAGGAUCUUGUCUGUGGCAAUUAUUACCAUGGUAAUAUAAUAGUGAUUUCUUAUUUCCCUUAUUUCUUCUAUGUUAAUUAAUUGGAACUGUUCUUAAGGAGGAAUUGCAUGACCUUACAUUAUAAUAAGGCAACUAUAAAAAAAGUCCAUACUCUUUUGGAGCCUAAAUUUUAGAUGGAGACAUACACAAACAAAAUAAAGAAAUGAGUUAGAUAAUAUAUGAAUAGAUGACAAGUACUAUAGAGAGAAAUCAAGUGAUGAAGGUAGGGGAAGGGCAUCAGGAGGUGCAGGUUUAAAUUGCAUGGUCAGAGGAGGCCUUAGAGAGAAGACCUAAAGCAAAGGAGGGAGCCAGCAUAUGAAAUCAUAGGGGAAGGGGGUAGAUUUCUAAAGAGAAGAAACCAGGGAGAGCAAAGGGUCUGAGGCAGGACCAUCCUUAUCUUAUGUGCUUUAGGAAAGCCCUGGAGGCCAGAGUGGCUGGCACAAGUGAGCAAAGUGGGAAGGGAAGUGAGAGGGCGAUGAGGCAGAGAGUGACAGGGCCAGAUGGCACAGUCUUGGGGCUGUUCUCCUGACCUGGCUGUUGCUCUAACGGAGGUGGGAACCAUCAAGCAAAGGGGUCAUGUGAUGUUUUUCAUAUACUAAAAGAUCACGUUGGCUGCUUUGUGUAGGCAAGGGUGGAAGCAUGGAGACCACAGGUAGGAAACAAUGACUGUCAUCAAGGUAAGAGAUGAAAGUGGCUUGGACCAGAAAGGUAACAAAGAGGUGGUUGGAUUUGGAUGUAUUUUGAAGGUAGAACUAACACUGCUACAAAAGCUCUCCCUUGUGGCCAGGAGCUUCUGGCCACCUCCUGGAUCCCCAGGGUGUGUAUCCUUGCUCCUCUGCCUUGAAGGGGGCUUUAGGAACAAGUCUGAGAAGUGCUGGCUGGCCAUGUUGAGUCUAAGGCCCUCAUUGGAACCCUGGAUUAUCUGCGUCCACCCUCCUUUCCUCUGCACUGUACCACACACUUCUCUCUCCCCAGGGCCAACCUUCUGCUCAGGCCAACCCACCAUUUGUUCACAGUCUCUCAGUCCUCAGUGCCCUCUGCCAACCAAGAUUCUUCCUAUCCUCCAAGGCUCACUUCCAGCCCCAUUGUCUGAACACUGCCCUCCUGGUAGGGACACUCACUAGGCUCUGCAUCAUGUGAGCAGCCCUGAUUCCAGACAGCUUCAGAUGCCCCUGCAGCCUUGGGGCCCCUUAACCACAAGAACUGGUCCCAAGUCCUUCAUCAGUUGGUCGUUGGCUUGAAAAUAUUAUGUUUCCUCUUAAUCAUCCAUGUACAUUUUGAAUUAUAUUCCAUGUAUAUAUAUUUUUUUAAAUAUGAAAAUAAUGUUUCUGCCUCUAUCUCUGCCCAAGCCUUCAAGUGAAAUUGAAAGUACAUCUUUCUUUUUUUGGGGGCUCUCUCUACCUUUUGGUGGAGGGGCUGUAAAAAUAGUUUGAGAAGGCAGGUGAGGGGUACAAGGAAAGGCAGGCAUCCCUGAGGAUUUAUUUGCUGCUAAUGGAUUUCUAUAUCUAUCUAUUGAAAUAAACUUGUGAAAAAUGCAUAUGGUUAAAAACUUCAAGCAGCAUAAAAGGGUAGAUCCUGAAAAGUAACCCUUCAGUGGCCUGCGUCUGCCAAGCCCUGCCCCAGAGUCAGUCACUCUUACCUGUCCCUUAAAUGCCUAUCCAGGGGUUGCUGAUGCAGUUAGCGGCUGGGAGCAGAUAGUAAUGAACAGCUGAAGGUAAAUGGAGGUGUGGAGAAACCUAGGCCCCACAUUGCACUUCCCAAGGCUAUGCAGCACCGUCAGAAGGGCUGGCUGCAGAAAGCCACCCUGCCAUUUUUAUUGUGCUUGGCUCAGACCACAGAGGGGUGAAUUUGCAAAGCCACCACACUCCAAUGGAAUUGGGGCAUUUGGUACCACCCUCUUUGGCUCUGUCUGUGCCCUCACAGGGAGAUUAGUUGUCCUCAAGAUUGCCCAGGUUGGCUGUUGUCUCUCCCUCCAAGUCAGCCAGCCAGCCAGAGGGAGAAGCACAACCAAGAGCUACAGGAGGAAGAAAGGCAGGUGGAAGAAGAGGUGGAGAAUGCCAGCUCCCAAGCCAUGAUUACAGCGAGAUUUCAGGGGAGCUUUGUCAUCCCUCCGCACUCCUCUGUGCCUCAGAGGCUCACCUGGAAGGCAGCACCCCUGUCUACCUUUCCCGUGGGAAUUCAGAGCAGCAAGCAGAACCCCUGAACUCUGUUGGGCCACUGCCAGCUACUUUCAAGCCUUUUUCCCUGCCGAUUACAGUGACAUGAUGUCGUUUUUAUUGAGGCAAGAUUAGAUUUUUUUUUUUAAGUUUUCAAAAGUGUGGUUCACAUGAUCUCUAGUACUUUUCCUAUUGCUUGAAGACCACAGAGCUGCCAAUUUCAAUUUGCUUCAGCUUUUAUCACUAAAAGAAGCUUAAAAGAAAAAAGAAAGGGGAGACAGGCUGAAUGAAAAUAUUCCCCUUGGCCCUGGCAGUUAGCAUGAGGGUGGCAGGGGACACACGCAUCACCCACCCCUUUUUGUGUAAAUGUUGUAAUAGAAAGUUGUCGGGAGACUGAAGUUGGGCCUGGCUGCUGGACAACACACAAUGUCCGAAUGACUGGAGGGUUUUUGUGCCAUAGCCAGAGAGGAAUGUGCAGCCAGAAGUCAUUCAUGGUAGUCAGGAAAGUAUUUAGAGAAGAUGCUGAUCUAUUGGGUGAUGGGUAAAGUAAACUCAAAGAAGUUUUAUUUCAUCUUAAUUCUAAUUUUAUUAUUCUUAAAUCUAAGAAUUUUCCUCCUUGGAGGCAAGAUUUCCCAUUCAUUCAACAUAUUCAUUGAGCACCUACUAUGUGCCCGAUUCUGCUGGCAGGGUGAAUAAGGCAAAGUCCAGGCCUUUUGCCAGUUUUGAAGCAAAAAUGAAGAAUAAUAAUCUGCAUGGACCAUGGUUUUUCAGGUGCCAACUCACCCCUCAAAAUGGGUGGUGUGAUGGAAAAUCAUGAAAAAAGCUAAGGUCCAAUCACAUUUGAAGCAGGAGAAUGAGGUCUGGAGGGGUAAAGGACAUGCUAACAAAACAAAUCUCUCCUAUUCCAUGAACUCUGUAGAGUAGAAACAACAUUUACAUAUUACCACCACUUACGAGCCACUUUCAGAUUCCUACUAGUUUGAUCCUCACAACAGCCUGUGAAGUAGGGAAGGGCAAAGUUGACCACAGCUCUUCACUGCAACUGGCACAUGGUAGGUACUCAAUGAAUGUUAAGUAAACCCCUAAUUUAGAGGGUUACACCGGUGGUUCAAGAAUAAUUAAGAGAUUGGUCCCAAGUUACUUGGUAGUAAGUGACAGAGUCUGGACUUGAACUCAGAGGUCUUGAAUAUAUAUAUCAAGGCCUGUCGUUACUCCUAGAAGCACCACCCUCUAGAGAUUUCUUCAGAUUACUGCCUUUCCUGUGGCAGCAAAGUGACUCAAGUCAACUUCCUUGAAGGUUGCAGUGGUCUUUGGAGAGUAAUUUCAAUGGGUAGAGGCCAAAAUGACUUCAAAUGUGGACAGGAUACCUCGUGAGGAGACUCCACCUCCUGGGAAGGUUCUUCCAGAGUUGAGUUCAUUGAGCUAAGAAACCUGGGCAUGGGUAUUAUUCUUUGGGUAUGGAUUUCUAAACUGUUGCAAACCAGAUUGGAAAUAUCCUUCUAGAAGUUUAUAUAUCACCUCGACUCACUCUGUCUCUUUCAAUUGUGUGGAUCAGAAAAAGGUGGAUUCAGAGCAAAAUUGUGAAGAAAUGUCUCCUCAUUUGUGUCUUGUGAAUCUUGAUUUUUCUCCUCUGCAGAAGGAUGGAAGGCCACUGUUGGAGUGGGAUGUGUCAGAUAGUUUAGAAGGCUUCAUCAGGGAUAUAGAACUGAGAAGCCUAAUUGCAGCUGUACUAUCACUGGGCUGGAAGCUACCCAGAACAUGAUCUGAGUCUCUUCCCCUGAGGCAGGGGAUAAGAGCACAUGCCCAGGGUUGACUGUGGAUAUGUCCCUGCCAGGAAAUGCAGUGUGGGGACAUGAAGGAGUCUACAGGAAUAGGGAGUCUGUCUAGAUGCAAAGGGAGAUCAGAGGGUGUAACACUCCAUCUUCUUGUCCACUUUGCUCCAUGAACAUGAAGUAGUGCUUUUAGCUGCAAGUCAGAGAAAGAUCUGGGUUCUAGUUCUACCUCAGCCAUAGGCUCAUGGUGUAUGUCCCUAAAGAUGGCAUUCAUUGCUGCCUCUUUGGGUUUUAGGUUCCCCAUCAGUAGCCUGAUGGUUUUCAACCAAUGCCUUGGGAGAAGUUUCCUCCCUGGGGGUUGCAGAGUCAGAGCUCAGAGGUGGUGCUGAGCACCAGGGCUUCUUACAAACCUUCUCAUCCUUCUACCAGAUCGAUAUGGUGUUGGGCUGUUCACACAUUGCAUGUCCUCCUAUGAUUUUGUUCAAAGAAAGUAUUUCACUGGUUUUUGUAUUUAAGUUUGAAAACUGCAAGUAAGAGGCUCCCCCAAAAUAAUUAUGAGUAUGUGAUAUGAGUUAUAAAGGCUGCGUGGGAGAGUGUACCUGGCCCUCAAACUGCUCACACUUCAGUGGGGUGGGCUGGAGACAGUUGACAAAAAAUUACAAAACUACACGGUGUCUUACUUUUAAUAUUCUUCACCAGUAAGUGGAACCUUGUCUCAUCUCUCUCACCCACAGCCAGCAUAUACAGGAUACUUAGUAGGUGCUUAGUAAAUACUUGCUGAAAGGACUGGUGAAUGAGUGGCUCAUUCCCUUUGGGAGGAAUCACAGAUGCAAAGGUAGCUAAGGGCCUUCCCAGCACUCACUGGAGCUGUGUAGGUGCUGGGAGCUCCGUGUUUCCCUUUCAUGAAUGGGCCAGUUACAGCAACUGGGGACAUAAUCUGUUACAGGUUGAAUUGUGUUCCCUAAAAAAUUAUGUUGAAGUCCUAACUCUUGGUACCUUGGAAUGGGACCGUAUUUGGGUAUAAAGGUUGCUAGAGGUCUGCUGAAGGGUUGUUGCACCUGUCAUCAGCUGAAGGGAGGCUGCAUUGGCGAGGGUGGGUCCUUCAUCCAAUAUGACUGGUGUCCUUUAAAGAAGAGGAGCAGAAACAGACAGGGAGAAGACGGUUACAUGCUAAUGGAGGGGGGGGGGGCGGAGACUGGAGUAGUGAAUCUACAAGCUACAGAACACCAAGGAAUGCCAGCAAAUCCUAGAGGUGGGAGAGGCAAGCAAGGAUUCUCCACUAUAGGUUUCACAGGGAGUGUGGUCCUGCUGAGUCCUUGAUCUCAGACAUGGUGCCUCCAGAACUUUAAGAAAAUACAUUUCUAUUGUUUUAAGCCACCCAGUUUAUGGUACUUUGUUAUGGAGCUCUAGCAAACUAAUACAUCUGAUACUAUGCUUACAAGGAAACUCUACAACCUUUUUUUUCCUUUAACCUCAAUAAAAUGUCUGGAAAAUA